rfam:Camelus ferus unplaced genomic scaffold scaffold306, whole genome shotgun sequence.
GAGGGUAUAGCUCGGUGGUAGAGCACAGGCCUAGAAUGCAUGAGGUCCUGGGUUCAAACCCCAGUACCUCCA